UACGAAGGGAGCUAGCGUUGUUCGGAAUCACUGGGCGUAAAGCGCACGUAGGCGGAUGUGUCAGUCAGGGGUGAAAUCCCGGAGCUCAACUUCGGAACUGCCUUUGAUACAGCACGUCUUGAGUCCGGAAGAGGUGGGUGGAAUUCCUAGUGUAGAGGUGAAAUUCGUAGAUAUCAGGAGGAACACCAAUGGCGAAGGCAGCUCGCUGGGCCGAUACUGACGCUGAGGAGCGAAAGCGUGGGGAGCGAACAGG
rnacentral:rRNA from 1 species